AUACGGAGGGUGCGAGCGUUAAUCGGAAUUACUGGGCGUAAAGGGUGCGUAGGCGGCUUGAUAAGUCGGAUGUGAAAGCCCCGGGCUUAACCUGGGAAUUGCAUUCGAUACUGUCAGGCUAGAGUAUGUCAGAGGUUGGCGGAAUUCCUGGUGUAGCGGUGAAAUGCGUAGAUAUCAGGAGGAACACCAGUGGCGAAGGCGGCUAACUGGGACAAUACUGACGCUGAGGCACGAAAGCGUGGGGAGCACACAGGAUUAGAAACCCUAGUAGUCC
rnacentral:rRNA from 1 species